GCCUACAGUUGUUCACAUCAAAAGUGAAAGUAUCUUGCACAAAUACAGCAACUCUGACACGUAGCAGUAAGUUUCACCCACGCGACAAAGGGAUUGUUCAACCAGUUAACGAUGGUGAAUGUUUACAUGCACACCACUGGACAACAUCUGGAUUGUCAUGAGGAGUUUAAAGAACGUAUAGCUAAUCGGGUCCAUGUCCGGCAAGAGUCCAAUCAUAGUGCCUCUGAUACCAUUCUUGCAUUCUGUACAAUCACCUCUCGAGUUGGAACUGAUGUUGAAGCUGCUGUCAAGGAGAUCCCAGGGGGCAAACCUGUGAUUCUUGUGAUUUGUCACCACACCUUUAACGUAGACUAUGUUGUGCCAGACAGUAGUAGAUCCGUAAGCCUCCCAGAUGUUGUUAUUGUUGACAUCCUGUUCCACGAAACCCAGGGGCUCCUGAGGUGCUUGCAUAAUGAUGAAGAACUGAAAAGAGUAACAAAUCGGCUAAUAGAUCUAGGAGCUGAGUAUCACCCUCUACCACCACCAUCAUCCAGCAAUGGCAGCAGAACACGUUGGAUUGGUGGUUUAAUUAGUGCAGUAGCUCUGAUAGUUGUAGUAUGUUUUAUUAUUGUGAUAAUUGAAACACAAUGGAAGCCGAUGGGACAUAGUAACAGCACCAAUGACUCCAAAACGGUGACAAACAAUCUGUAGUAAGUUGUUGUUGAUUUGUCUCUAUUUGGAAUUAAAGAAAUGGUCGGAUGAUCCUCCUAUCCUAUCAUAAGUUAACUAUAUGAAAUAAAUAUUUUUUGGUUAUGGUACUUGGUAAAUAAUUUUAUUCAAAUUGUGUAACAACUUACCAGACUCGAAAGUGAGCAAAGAAGAUCAUCUCCAACUCCUCACUUCCUGCUCAGGACCUCUUUCAGCACCUUCUUUCAGGGAGGCGCCACAGGUUACGACAGCAAACGCUUCAUAAACACCCUUUACGAUAUAGCUAUCAGGACUCUAAACUCCUCUUUCAUCUGUCCUCAUUUAACCUGUCAUACAUACCAUUCACCUACAUUUGCACUAUGGAUGUUUAAUAUAUAAAGUGGUCAAUUUGCACUAUUAAUUUAAACAAUACUCAUAAUGUUCAAAUCCCUUUCCCAAAAGCUUCCCCAAGCUUUUACUGCAUUAUUCUCUGUGUUAUACUUCCGCUUGCACAUCGUGCUUCACAAUGCCCCUUAGCUGUUCCAAAAUCAGUGUAAACUACGGCUUUUCGUGGCUUAUUGCUAAAUUGCAAUGAAUGUAAUUGUGUGUGUCUAAAUAAUGAUAUUAAAUAUGCAUUACACCAA